rnacentral:rRNA from 1 species
GCUAGUAAUCGCGGAUCAGCAUGCCGCGGUGAAUACGUUCCCGGGCCUUGUACACACCGCCCGUCACACCACGAGAGUUUGUAACACCCGAAGUCGGUGGGGUAACCUUUUUGGAGCCAGCCGCCUAAGGUGGGACAGAUGAUUGGGGUGAAGUCGUAACAAGGUAGCCGUAUCGGAAGGUGCGGCUGGAUCACCUCCUUU